GGGGAAAACGGGGUUAGCAAGGCGGGCUGGACCUCUCGGGGUUACAGCCUUGCUGAAUUAUUCACCCUUGUCUUUUGCGUACUUCUUGUUUCCUUGGUGGGUUCGCCCACCACUAGGACAAACAUAAACCUUUUGUAAUUGCAAUCAGCGUCAGUAACAAAUUAAUAAUUACAACUUUCAACAACGGAUCUCUUGGUUCUGGCAUCGAUGAAGAACGCAGCGAAAUGCGAUAAGUAGUGUGAAUUGCAGAAUUCAGUGAAUCAUCGAAUCUUUGAACGCACAUUGCGCCCUUUGGUAUUCCAAAGGGCAUGCCUGUUCGAGCGUCAUUUGUACCCUCAAGCUUUGCUUGGUGUUGGGCGUCUUGUCUCUAGCUUUGCUGGAGACUCGCCUUAAAGUAAUUGGCAGCCGGCCUACUGGUUUCGGAGCGCAGCACAAGUCGCACUCUCUAUCAGCAAAGGUCUAGCAUCCAUUAAGCCUUUUUUUCAACUUUUGACCUCGGAUCAGGUAGGGAUACCCGCUGAACUUAAGCAUAUCAAUAAGCGGAGAGAAA
rnacentral:rRNA from 1 species